AGAGUUUGAUCCUGGCUCAGGAUGAACGCUAGCGGCAGGCUUAAUACAUGCAAGUCGUGGGGCAGCAUGAUGUAGCAAUACAUUGAUGGCGACCGGCAAACGGGUGCGGAACACGUACACAACCUUCCUUUCAGUGGGGAAUAGCCCAGAGAAAUUUGGAUUAAUACCCCAUAAGAUAAUGAGAUGGCAUCAUCUUAUUAUUAAAGCUUCGGCGCUAGAAGAUGGGUGUGCGGCUGAUUAGGUAGUUGGCGGGGUAACGGCCCACCAAGCCUACGAUCAGUAGCUGAUGUGAGAGCAUGAUCAGCCACACGGGCACUGAGACACGGGCCCGACUCCUACGGGAGGCAGCAGUAAGGAAUAUUGGACAAUGGACGAAAGUCUGAUCCAGCCAUGCCGCGUGAAGGAUUAAGGUCUCUGGAUUGUAAACUUCUUUUAUUUGGGACGAAAACUCCGUGCCAGCAGCCGCGGUAAUACGGAGGGUGCAAGCGUUAUCCGGAUUCACUGGGUUUAAAGGGUGCGUAGGCGGGUUUGUAAGUCAGUGGUGAAAUCCUGGAGCUUAACUCCAGAACUGGCAUUGAUACUAUAAGUCUUGAAUAUUGCGGAGGUAAGCGGAAUAUGUCAUGUAGCAGUGAAAUGCUUAGAUAUGACAUAGAACACCCAUUGCGAAGGCAGCUUACUACACAUAUAUUGACGCUGAGGCACGAAAGCGUGGGGAUCAAACAGGAUUAGAUACCCUGGUAGUCCACGCCCUAAACUAUGGAUACUCGACAUACGCGAUACACUGUGUAUGUCUGAGCGAAAGCAUUAAGUUCCCCGCCUGGGGAGUACGGCCGCAAGGCUAAAACUCAAAGGAAUUGAGGGGGGCCCGCACAAGCGGCGGAGCAUGUGGUUUAAUUCGAUGCAACGCGAAGAACCUUACCAAGGCUUGACAUACACCGGAAACGGCUAGAGAUAGUCGCCUCUUCGGACUGGUGUACAGGUGGUGCAUGGUUGUCGUCAGCUCGUGUCGUGAGAUGUUGGGUUAAGUCCCGCAACGAGCGCAACCCUCGUUCUAUGUUGCCAGCACGUGAUGGUGGGAACUCAUGGAAGACUGCCGGGGACAACUCGGAGGAAGGUGGGGAUGACGUCAAAUCAUCAUGCCCUUUAUGUCUUGGGCUUCACACGUGCUACAAUGGCCGGUACAGAGGGCUGCAACAUAGCGAGGUGAAGCGAAUCCCAGAAAGCCGGUCUCAGUUCGGAUCGUAGUCUGCAACUCGACUACGUGAAGUCGGAGUCGCUAGUAAUCGCAGAUCAGCAACGCUGCGGUGAAUACGUUCCCGGGCUUGUACACACCGCCGU
rnacentral:rRNA from 1 species